CCCUCCUCCAGGUUCACCGCAGCGUCAACGACGUCAGCAAACUGGCGCACACUCUGCCCGCCUUUUGGCUCCGCACAGUCACAGCUAUCAAAGAACAUGAGCAUAGCAUAUAGCACAGAGCUGUAGGUAGUAGCACAGCGCUAUAGGUAGUAGCACAGAGCUAUAGGUAGUAUCACAGCUAUAGGUAGUAUCACAGCUAUAGGUAGUAUCACAGCUAUAGGUAGUAGCACAGAGCUAUAGGUAGUAGAACAGAGCUACUGGUAGUAGCACAGAGCUGUAGGUAGUAGAACAGAGCUGUAGGUAGAAGCACAGAGCUGUAGCUAGUAGCACAGAGCUAUAGGUAGUAGAACAGAGCUUUAGGUAGAAGCACAGAGCUACACCAUAUUAUACAAGGCUUGCAUAAUAUGGUGUAGAGGGCGGGAUGACUCAGCAGUUACUUUGAGGGUGUCAUGUCAGCGCGAAGGCUUGUUCAUGUUUAGAGUCGGAUUUCUGGUGCAAAUGAAAGGUCUGCUAUCCAGGAGGUCCUGGAGAGGGAGCGGAGCUUCUGGGUCGAUUAUUCUACAACGUUGAUUGUUUUUAGUUUUACGUUGCGUGAUUCGAGAAGGGGUUGUUAUUGUUUU